rnacentral:rRNA from 1 species
GACGUAGGGCGCGAGCGUGUCCGGAUUUAUUGGGCGUAAAGAGCUCGUAGGCGGUUUGUUGCGUCGGCUGUGAAAUCCCGAGGCUCAACCUCGGGUCUGCAGUCGAUACGAGCAAACUAGAGUGUUGCAGGGGAGACUGGAAUUCCUGGUGUAGCGGUGAAAUGCGCAGAUAUCAGGAGGAACACCCGUGGCGAAAGCGGCUCUCUGGAACGGUACUGACGCUGAGACGCGAAAGCGUGGGGAGCGAACAGG